AACGAACGCUGGCGGCAGGCUUAACACAUGCAAGUCGAGCGCCCCGCAAGGGGAGCGGCAGACGGGUGAGUAACGCGUGGGAACGUACCCUUUGCUACGGAAUAACUCCGGGAAACUGGAAUUAAUACCGUAUGUGCCCUACGGGGGAAAGAUUUAUCGGCAAAGGAUCGGCCCGCGUUGGAUUAGCUAGUUGGUGGGGUAAUGGCCUACCAAGGCGACGAUCCAUAGCUGGUCUGAGAGGAUGAUCAGCCACAUUGGGACUGAGACACGGCCCAAACUCCUACGGGAGGCAGCAGUGGGGAAUAUUGGACAAUGGGCGCAAGCCUGAUCCAGCCAUGCCGCGUGAGUGAUGAAGGCCUUAGGGUUGUAAAGCUCUUUCACCGGAGAAGAUAAUGACGGUAUCCGGAGAAGAAGCCCUGGCUAACUUCGUGCCAGCAGCCGCCGUAA
rnacentral:rRNA from 1 species